rnacentral:tRNA from 1 species
UUUUCUGUUAGCUUAAAUGGUAAAAGCGUAUGGCUGUUAACCAUAAGAUUGUAGGUUCGAACCCUAUUCAGAAAGU